rnacentral:rRNA from 1 species
GAUGAACGCUGGCGGCGUGCCUAAUACAUGCAAGUCGAACGAAACUUCUUUAUCACCGAGUGCUUGCACUCACCGAUAAAGAGUUGAGUGGCGAACGGGUGAGUAACACGUGGGCAACCUGCCCAAAAGAGGGGGAUAACACUUGGAAACAGGUGCUAAUACCGCAUAACCAUAGUUACCGCAUGGUAACUAUGUAAAAGGUGGCUAUACUACCGCUUUUGGAUGGGCCCGCGGCGCAUUAGCUAGUUGGUAGGGUAAAGGCUUACCAAGGCAAUGAUGCGUAGCCGAAUUGAGAGGUUGAUCGGCCACAUUGGGACUGAGACACGGCCCAAACUCCUACGGGAGGCAGCAGUAGGGAAUCUUCCACAAUGGGCGAAAGCCUGAUGGAGCAACGCCGCGUGGGUGAAGAAGGUCUUCGGAUCGUAAAACCCUGUUGUUAGAGUAGAAAGUGCGUGAGAGUAACUGUUCACGUUUCGACGGUAUCUAACCAGAAAGCCACGGCUAACUACGUG